rnacentral:rRNA from 1 species
CCUACGGGAGGCAGCAGUGGGGAAUCUUGCGCAAUGGGCGAAAGCCUGACGCAGCCAUGCCGCGUGAAUGAUGAAGGUCUUAGGAUUGUAAAAUUCUUUCACCGAGGACGAUAAUGACGGUACUCGGAGAAGAAGCCCCGGCUAACUUCGUGCCAGCAGCCGCGGUAAUACGAAGGGGGCUAGCGUUGCUCGGAAUUACUGGGCGUAAAGGGAGCGUAGGCGGAUAGUUUAGUCAGAGGUGAAAGCCCAGGGCUCAACCUUGGAAUUGCCUUUGAUACUGGCUAUCUUGAGUACGGAAGAGGUAUGUGGAACUCCGAGUGUAGAGGUGAAAUUCGUAGAUAUUCGGAAGAACACCAGUGGCGAAGGCGACAUACUGGUCCGUUACUGACGCUGAGGCUCGAAAGCGUGGGGAGCAAACAGGAUUAGAUACCCUGGUAGUCCACGCUGUAAACGAUGAGUGCUAGUUGUCGGCAUGCAUGCAUGUCGGUGACGCAGCUAACGACAUAAGACACUCCGCCGUCGGGAGGUACGGUCGCGAGAAUAAACUACAAGAGUAGAGGCGUGAGAGNGCCGACGGACGACGACGAGGGAGGAGG